rnacentral:lncRNA from 1 species
UCACACAUAGUUUUUAUUCAAAAUAAAGGGGCAAAUUUUAUUUCACAUCUUAUAAGAGCAUUUUAAACGUAAAAGGAAAAAUAAAUAUAAUAAGAAAAGAAAAUUUCACAUGACAAACAAUUGCUCUUACAAUUUUAGUAGACUAAAUUUUUCCAUGUGUGUUCACUUGUAGUAGUAUGUAACUUUUUUAUUAUUGACUAUUUCACGAGAUUAAGGUAGAGGAUUUUCGAUAUAUAAUAAUUUCAAAGGUUUAUAGUUUAGUACAUCAGGUGGAGAAUUGUAGGUAUUUAAUAAUUUAAAAGGUUUAUGUGAUGUUUUAGGUAGAUGAUUGUUGGUAUUUAACGAUUUAAAAAGGUAUAUGUGCUGCUUCAGGUGGAGGAUUGUUGAUACUCAAGGAUUUAAAAGGUAUAUGUGCUGCCUCAGGCGGAGGGUUGUUGAUACUCAACGAUUUAAAAGGUGUAUGUGCUGCUUCAGGCGGAGGGUUGUUGAUAUUCAACGAUUUAAAAGGUGUAUAUGCUACUGUAGGUGGAGCACGAUUGAUAUACAAUGAUUUAAAAGGUUUAUGAUCUCGUCUCCAAAGGAUUUUAGAGAGUAAUUUUUCAUCAUAAGGUUGGUAUUUUGGUAAUAGGUUGUUGUGUAGUGCAUUUUCAAGAGUAUGUUUUGGUAUUUGUUGUUCUAUAGCCAAUACCAGAGUGAUGUGCAUUGACAUUCCAAGAACGAGUAACACUAAUGAGUAUAUAGAGGACAUAUUUUAGAUUUUGAAUG